UACGUCGGUUGGUGGCCGCGUCUGGGACCGAACCGGGCACCGCCUUGUGGAAAAAAAAGAAUAGAAUAUACCCUGUUAAAUCAGACAUGAUACUUGCUUUUGUGGAGCUUAUGCUUUAGUGCAGAAACAGAAAGUCAAGCAAAAACUCAAACUAUGUAACUUUAAAUUGGAUAUGUGCUAAUGAAGGAAAAUGUGGCACUGUAAGAAAAAAUAAUAGGGAGUUAAAGGAUAAAUAGGAGUUUGCUGGAUGAAAUUUAUGAAGAGCUGAAGAUUUCAAACAAAAGAAACUGAUGCAGGAGGGUGCAGCUUUGGAGUCAAGAAUGAAGUUCUAGGAGAUAGAGAGCAAAGAAAUGGUGGGAGAGGAGGUCAAAAAAUACUAGGCUUUAGAAUUUCACCAUAUGAAUUUUGGGAGAGAGGAGCACAGUUCAGCCCAUAACUAACACACGACGGAAUGAAGUUGAUAAUAGUGAGACCUUGUUGGUACAAGACUAUGUAACAUAACCUGCGCUUCUCAACAAAGAAUUGCUUUUCUGACUUCUGCACUCAAUAGCAAGACAAAUCUCUCCUCUGCCUUCUCCUUAUCAGACUACUCAACAUGAAGGCAAUAAGAAUGAAGACCUCUAUGUAUAAUAAUUGACUUCCACUUAAUAAAUACCUGAACAGAUGUUGAGUACAAGCUGAUCCACCUACGUUCAACCUGAGAGAGUCCACAUCCACAGACUGUUUCAUUUCCCUUUUUCAAUUUACAUAGAAGCAUAGAUUCUUGCUGGCAUAUACAAAUGCGCCAUUUAAGGCAAUCAAAAAUGGUUCCACAUCUCAUCUGAUUUCCACAAUUGUUGCUGUAACGAUGGACUACUGAGGAGAGAGACAAUUUCUCUGGCACAUCUUCCCACAUUUUAGCAACAUGUUCAUGGAGAGCCAAUAUUCAGUAAUUACAGCCCAAUUCCUCACAAUUUCACAAUUCGCUAACAAUAUGCAUUUUCACAAUGUAAAGCUGAUUUUCCUUUAACCAAAUCAAACAUGAAAAGAUAGCUGCAUGCAAUGGGCAAUCUAGAUCAUUAGAAGAUUGAUGUAAAAUUAGAGGACACUGAGACUGGAAUAGAUUGCAAACUUCAGGGAGCUCAGAAAACUUGUAAACUCUACAUUUUGAGGAAAUAUGUUGUCGAUGCUUUUGCAACUCUAUGCAGUAACUUAACAAAUAAAGCCUUAAAGUAA
rnacentral:lncRNA from 1 species